GAUUGAAGGAGGAGGAUACUCCCUAGUGAAAACUUUACGAGAACUGAACGUUAAAACCCUAAUUAGAGUGAUUGUUAAUACUGAGUAAACCCUAUAUUUUUCUAUGGAUGCGAAGGACAUCCUGGGAUUACCCAAAAAUUCCUUCCCACCUCUGGAGAAGAAGUCUCGACCUCAGAAAGAAUCUCAGAGAAAACCAGAUGGCAUUUCGCGGGAGGUGUAUGCGCUUACGGGUGGAUUGGCACCUCUUAUGCCUGCUGUUGAUUCGUCUCAAUUGAAAAAAAGGCCUCCAUCAGAUGAAAAGAUCACUUGGCAAUGGCUUCCUUUCACAAAUUCUGCUCGUAAAGAUGAUCUUCAGCUUUUCCAUUGGGUCCGAGUUAUAAAUGGUGUUCCUCCAGCAGGGGACUAUUCUUUUGCUAAGUAUAACAAGUCUGUUGACAUAACAAGAUACACAGAUGAGGAGUAUGAGAAGUAUUUGACAGAUUCUAAAUGGACCAAGGAGGAGACAGAUCAACUGUUUGACUUGUGUGAGAGAUUUGAUCUCCGAUUUAUUGCAAUAGCUGAUAGGUUCCCAUCAUCUCGAACUAUAGAAGAAUUAAAGGAUCGAUAUUAUAGCGUAUCCCGGGCUAUAUUAAUUGCUAGGAAUCCAUCUUCUGGGGAUGUUGCAGUGCAUUCGCAUGUUAAGGAACCAUAUAAUGUUUCACAAGAGAUGGAGCGGAAACAAGCUCUGUCCCUGUUCCUCUCUCAAACAAGGCAACAAGAGCGAAGAGAUGAAGAGGUGCUUGCUGAAGCAAAAAGAAUAAUCGAGUCACGCAUACCUACCAAGGUAGCUGAGGAGUCUGAGUUGGCUGUUGCUUCGAAUGCUGGUGCAGAUGUUACAGAGCGGGCUAUUCCUGGUGAAACUGUAUCUCCAUCAAAUAUGCAACUUCCACCAAUAGUUGUGCCUUCCACAAUAGCAACAGAUAAUGCAUCUACACUAGCUUCUCUUCGCAUUCUUCGUGUGUAUCUGAGAACCUAUGCACUUGAGCAAAUGGUGCAAUCUGCAAGCUCAUCUGCCGGACUUCGGACUAUCAAACGGGUUGAGCAAACUUUGCAGGAACUCGGGGUCAAUUUGAAACCAAGGGUUCCAACAAAAGCUGUUUGUGCAGAGCAUCUUGAACUGAGAAAAGAAAUACUAACUCUGUUGAAUCUUCAGAAACAGCUGCAAUAUAAGGAGGCUGAAGGUUCGUCUUUUCGUGAUGGAUCAUACGGUGAAACACCAGGAACACCAAAGCGUUUGCAUCGUGGUGGGGAUCAGGAUCGGACAUUUGUUCCAGACAACACAAAUUUUGGAGGGGAAAGGAUUGGCAAAAGGGAUCAAAAGCGCAAGGUGCCUCCAUCAUCACCAGCUCAAUCUAAAAGACCUAGAAAACUAAAGGCAUCAGAUCUUUAGUUCCCCGGGUAAGAGCUUAUAUUUACCGUAGAUGAUACAAAAGGAGUUGUUGAUAAUCCUUCUAUAACUGCAAAUCCAUAUCUUUUGUUUGGUUCUGUAAUAUCUUCCGUGCUUCAACAUUCUUCUACCACUUAUUUGUUGGUCCAUCGUAGUUAUUAAAUGAAUUUGCAUGUUAUCCAUUAGGUGGCAAACGGAGAGGUUGUUUGCACUUGUAGUGUUCUUUUAAUAGGAAUUAUAAUUAUUGUGGUAAGCUGUGAGCUCUGAACACCUCGAAAUUCUGAUUGUGGUUAGAUUAGAAAAAUUAAUGCCUUUAUCAGUGUUUAGUGCUAAACGGAGCAGUGGAGUUCGCAUCUACACCAUGUAUGGCCCCACUGAGAAACUGUAUUUUUUCUUUAUUGUGCUGGUGAAGCUAUGUAAUGGCACCAGGUGUUUCUGACCAAACAAGCUCAGGAUAUGUGGAGCCUGAAAUUAUUAUAUUGGUUUGUCUUGGAAAGCUGAUGUAACAAAUGCCGUUUGUAGGGGAUUAAUAAAAUGGAGAGAGAAAAUAGAACGAACGCUUACAGAAAAAAAAAAAUCAUUCAUUUUUCCUUAUACCAUGAUCAGCGGGAAAUAUAUUAUUUUUUAUAUUUAGGGUAACGAUGAAAAUGCUCUUGAACAUCCAACAAAUGAAGUUUGGAGUAACUAAUUGAUGAGCUUAUUUGAUCAGAGAGCAUCUCUUUCCGUCGUUUCUGAACAAUGCUUAUGAGAUAUAUCACCAUGAACGGUGCAUUCUUUGUGAAGACUAUGUUCUAGCAAAGCUGUCAAAAUUUAAAGUGAAAAAGAGAUGAGCUGGCAGAGGGUAAAAGUGGAUUGUUAUUAAUAACGGUGAAUAUCCAUGGAUGGUAAACGAGAAGCUGCAUUGGUGUUACUGACUGAAUGAUUGCCUCAUUAUUCAUUAUGGAUACCCUUCUAUUGGUGUACAUACUUCCAUGUCGGGAACUUUCUUGCAAAACCUGUAACGGGGUUAAUAAUGAACCUACUGAAAAGCGCUCUGGCAAUCGCUCCCAGCCCAUCAACGUUGUCUUUACUUGUAUCUCUUAGAUCGAUUUGGUUUGGAUCCAAUGUUAUGUGGAGACAGGCCAUUUUUUAUUGGGCUUGUAGUUGUAAAAUUGUAACAAUUCAACAUCAAUAAUUCAUUAUUUGGUUGACAAAGAUACACCAAAAGAGCCAGAGCAAGUUGAAUUAAUUAGGAAGUUAGCCUUAGCCCAAGAGUUCGUGUAUU